rnacentral:rRNA from 1 species
GAUGAACGCUGGCGGCGUGCCUAAUACAUGCAAGUCGAGCGAACGGACGAGAAGUUUGCUUCUCUGAUGUUAGCGGCGCACGGGUGUGUAACACGUGGAUAACCUCCCUAUAAGUCUGGGAUAACUUCGGGAAACCGGAGCUAAUACCGGAUAAUAUUUUGAACCGCAUGGUUCAAAAGUGAAAGACGGUCUUGCGGUCACUUAUAGAUGGAUCCGCGCUGCAUUAGCUAGUUGGUAAGGUAACGGCCUACCAAGGCAACGAUGCAUAGCCGACCUGAGAGGGUGAUAGGCCACACUGGAACUGAGACACGGUCCAGACUCCUACGGGAGGCCGCAGUAGGGAAUCUUCGGCAGUGGGCGAAAGCCUGACAGAGCAACGCCGCGUGUGUGAUAAAGGUCUUCGGAUCGUAAAACUCUGUUAUUGGGGAAGAACAUAUGUGUAAGUAACUGUGCACAGCUUGACGGUACCUAAUCAGAAAGCCACGGCUAACUACGUG